rnacentral:rRNA from 1 species
GACGAACGCUGGCGGCGUGCUUAACACAUGCAAGUCGAGCGGUAAGGCCCUUUCGGGGGUACGACGAGCGGCGAACGGGUGAGUAACACGUGGGUGACCUGCCCUCCAGCUCUGGGAUAAGCCUGGGAAACCGGGUCUAAUACUGGAUAUGACUCCAUGACGCAUGUCGUGGGGUGGAAAGCCUUGUGCGGCUGAGGAUGGGCCCGCGGCCUAUCAGCUUGUUGGUGGGGUGAGGCCUACCAAGGCGACGACGGGUAGCCGGCCUGA